rnacentral:tRNA from 1 species
GCGUUGCUAGCUCAGCUGGAUAGAGCGUUCGUCUACGGAACGAAAGGUCAGGGGUUCGAAUCCCUUGCGACGCACCA